rnacentral:tRNA from 1 species
ACUUAAAUAGCUUAAGAAGAGCAUGAUAUUGAAGAUAUUAAGGUAAUAAAAUUAUUUUUAAGUA